GACGAACGCUGGCGGCGCGCCUAACACAUGCAAGUCGAACGAGCGAGAGAGAGCUUGCUUUUCUCGAGCGAGUGGCGAACGGGUGAGUAACGCGUGAGGAACCUGCCUCAAAGAGGGGGACAACAGUUGGAAACGACUGCUAAUACCGCAUAAGCCCACGGUGCCGCAUGGCACAGAGGGAAAAGGAGUAAUCCGCUUUGAGAUGGCCUCGCGUCCGAUUAGCUAGUUGGUGAGGUAACGGCCCACCAAGGCGACGAUCGGUAGCCGGACUGAGAGGUUGAACGGCCACAUUGGGACUGAGACACGGCCCAGACUCCUACGGGAGGCAGCAGUGGGGAAUAUUGCACAAUGGGGGAAACCCUGAUGCAGCGACGCCGCGUGGAGGAAGAAGGUCUUCGGAUUGUAAACUCCUGUUGUUGGGGAAGAUAAUGACGGUACCCAACAAGGAAGUGACGGCUAACUACGUGCCAGCAGCCGCGGUAAAACGUAGGUCACAAGCGUUGUCCGGAAUUACUGGGUGUAAAGGGAGCGCAGGCGGGAAGACAAGUUGGAAGUGAAAUCUAUGGGCUCAACCCAUAAACUGCUUUCAAAACUGUUUUUCUUGAGUAGUGCAGAGGUAGGCGGAAUUCCCGGUGUAGCGGUGGAAUGCGUAGAUAUCGGGAGGAACACCAGUGGCGAAGGCGGCCUACUGGGCACCAACUGACGCUGAGGCUCGAAAGUGUGGGUAGCAAACAGGAUUAGAUACCCUGGUAGUCCACACCGUAAACGAUGAUUACUAGGUGUUGGAGGAUUGACCCCUUCAGUGCCGCAGUUAACACAAUAAGUAAUCCACCUGGGGAGUACGACCGCAAGGUUGAAACUCAAAGGAAUUGACGGGGGCCCGCACAAGCAGUGGAGUAUGUGGUUUAAUUCGACGCAACGCGAAGAACCUUACCAAGUCUUGACAUCCCUUGACAGACAUAGAAAUAUGUAAUCUCUUCGGAGCAAGGAGACAGGUGGUGCAUGGUUGUCGUCAGCUCGUGUCGUGAGAUGUUGGGUUAAGUCCCGCAACGAGCGCAACCCUUAUGGUCAGUUACUACGCAAGAGGACUCUGGCCAGACUGCCGUUGACAAAACGGAGGAAGGUGGGGAUGACGUCAAAUCAUCAUGCCCUUUAUGACUUGGGCUACACACGUACUACAAUGGCGUUAAACAAAGAGAAGCAAGACCGCGAGGUGGAGCAAAACUCAGAAACAACGUCCCAGUUCGGACUGCAGGCUGCAACUCGCCUGCACGAAGUCGGAAUUGCUAGUAAUCGUGGAUCAGCAUGCCACGGUGAAUACGUUCCCGGGCCUU
rnacentral:rRNA from 1 species